rnacentral:rRNA from 1 species
CCUACGGGAGGCAGCAGUGAGGAAUAUUGGUCAAUGGACGCAAGUCUGAACCAGCCAUGCCGCGUGCAGGAUGACGGCUCUAUGAGUUGUAAACUGCUUUUGUACGAGGAUAAACGCAGAUACGCGUAUCUGUCUGAAAGUAUCGUACGAAUAAGGAUCGGCUAACUCCGUGCCAGCAGCCGCGGUAAUACGGCGGAUUCAAGCGUUAUCCGGAUUUAUUGGGUUUAAAGGGUGCGUAGGAGGUCGGAUAAGUUAGAGGUGAAAUUCCGAGGCUCAACUUGGGAAUUGCCUCUGAUACUGGUCGGCUAGAGUGUAGUAGCGGUAGGCGGAAUGUAUGGUGUAGCGGUGAAAUGCUUAGAGAUCAUACAGAACACCGAUUGCGAAGGCAGCUUACCAAGCUACUUCUGACGUUGAGGCACGAAAGCGUGGGGAGCAAACAGGAUUAGAUACCCUUGUAGUC